rnacentral:rRNA from 1 species
CCCUUAGAUGUUCUGGGCAGCACGCGCGCUACAAUGGUCUUCGCAAACGGAUGCAUUCUCGAAGGAGAAUGCCAAUCUUGGAAUCUAUGCCUUGGUCGGGACAGUUGCUUGCAAUUUUUCGACUCGAACCAGGAAUUCCUUGUAAUCGUGAUUCAUCACAUCACGAUGAAUACGUCCCUGCCCUUUGUACACACCGCCCGUCGUUUCUUCCGACUGAUACUCAUUGUGAGUUGCAAGGACCCUUUAUUGGGAAAUUGCUGCAAAUGCUUUGUAUUGGAGGAAGAAAAAGUCGUAACA